GGCAUGAUGGCUUAGUGGUUAGCAUGUUGCCUCGCACCUACAGGGUUGAGGGUUCGAACCCCUUCGUCCUG